rnacentral:rRNA from 1 species
CACGGAGGAUGCGAGCGUUAUCCGGAUUUAUUGGGUUUAAAGGGUGCGUAGGCGGGCUUUUAAGUCAGCGGUAAAAAUUCGGGGCUCAACCCCGUCCGGCCGUUGAAACUGGGGGCCUUGAGCGGGCGAGAAGAAGGCGGAAUGCGUGGUGUAGCGGUGAAAUGCAUAGAUAUCACGCAGAACCCCGAUUGCGAAGGCAGCCUUCCGGCGCCCUACUGACGCUGAGGCACGAAAGUGCGGGGAUCGAACAGG